rnacentral:rRNA from 1 species
UACGGAGGAUCCAAGCGUUAUCCGGAUUUAUUGGGUUUAAAGGGUGCGUAGGCGGGAGAUUAAGUCAGUGGUGAAAGUUUGCGGCUCAACCGUAAAAUUGCCAUUGAUACUGGUUUUCUUGAGUACAGUUGAGGUAGGCGGAAUGUGGUGUGUAGCGGUGAAAUGCUUAGAUAUACCACAGAACACCGAUUGCGAAGGCAGCUUACUAAGUUGUGACUGACGCUGAAGCACGAAAGCAUGGGGAUCAAACAGG